UAAGGAGAUCCAAGCUUUUUGUCCCAUGAUUCAGCAUAUUUAUAGUCCUUAGGAUUGCAACAUGAAUCUGAAAGGUGCAAAGAGCAAGGAGGCAAAUGAGAACAACUCUUCAUAAACUGCUAUUAAAAAUGUCAUGUGCAGCUAUAGACAGACUGCUGUAAAGGCCUGAAUUAUCAGAGUAGUAACAAGCCUCCCAUUCACUGCUUCAGAGAGGGCAGGAUGGAUCCCUCAAACUGAGUCAUGGCUGGAAGAGACCAUCCAGCAAACUGCAGCAAGAAGAGCUCCAGGACCUCACAUCAAAGCAUCGUUCCAGUGUGUUCACCAAAAUUUUAGUGCAGCAAUAAA